GAUGAACGCUGGCGGCGUGCCUAAUACAUGCAAGUCGAGCGAACAGACGAGGAGCUUGCUCCUCUGACGUUAGCGGCGGACGGGUGAGUAACACGUGGAUAACCUACCUAUAAGACUGGGAUAACUUCGGGAAACCGGAGCUAAUACCGGAUAAUAUAUUGAACCGCAUGGUUCAAUAGUGAAAGACGGUUUUGCUGUCACUUAUAGAUGGAUCCGCGCCGCAUUAGCUAGUUGGUAAGGUAACGGCUUACCAAGGCAACGAUGCGUAGCCGACCUGAGAGGUGGAUCGGCCAAACUGGACCUGAGACACGGUCCAGACUCCUACGGGAGGCAGCAGUAGGGAAUCUUCCGCAAUGGGCGAAAGCCUGACGGAGCAACGCCGCGUGAGUGAGGAAGGUCUUCGGAUCGUAAAACUCUGUUAUUAGGGAAGAACAAAUGUGUAAGUAACUAUGCACGUCUUGACGGUACCUAAUCAGAAAGCCACGGCUAACUACGU
rnacentral:rRNA from 1 species